UGAAUACGAGAUACUACGGUGUCGAAGCAGUCUAUGUCAUACUUCCAAGAAAAGCUUGCACUGUCAUAAACAAAUAAUGCCUGUACCAUAACCGACACAGGUGGGUAGGUAGAGUAUACUAAGGGGCGCGAGAUAACUCUCUCUAAGGAACUCGGCAAAAUGACUCCGUAACUUCGGGAGAAGGAGUGCCUUAUAUUUAUAAGGUUGCAAUAACAAGAUCCAAGCAACUGUUUAUCAAAAACACAGGUCUCCGCUAAGUCGUAAGACGAUGUAUGGGGGCUGACGCCUGCCCAGUGCCAGAAGGUUAAAGAAGUUGGUUAGCUUUUGCGAAGCUGAUAACUGAAGCCCUGGUGAACGGCGGCCGUAACUAUAACGGUCCUAAGGUAGCGAAAUUCCUUGUCGGGUAAGUUCCGACCCGCACGAAAGGCGUAAUGAUUUGGAUACUGUCUCGGAGAGGGACUCGGUGAAAUAGACUUGUCUGUGAAGAUGCGGACUACUUGCACCAGGACAGAAAGACCCUAUGAAGCUUUACUGUAACCUGAAAUUGAAAUUGGACUUUACUUGCGCAGGAUAGGUGGGAGGCUUUGAGAAUAUUCUUGCGGGAAUAUUGGAGCCAUCAGUGAGAUACCACUCUGGUAAUGUUAGAUUUCUAACUUUGUAUCAUUAUCUGGUCAAAGAACAGUUUCAGGCGGGCAGUUUGACUGGGGCGGUCGCCUCCUAAACGGUAACGGAGGCGCACAAAGGUUUCCUCUGAACGGGUAGAAAUCGUAUCUAGAGUGUAAAGGCAUAAGGAAGCUUGACUGUGAGACCUACAAGUCGAGCAGGGACGAAAGUCGGUCUUAGUGAUCUGACGGUGCUGAGUGGAAAGGCCGUCACUCAACGGAUAAAAGUUACUCUAAGGAUAACAGGCUGAUCUCCCCCAAGAGUUCACAUCGACGGGGAGGUUUGGCACCUCGAUGUCGGCUCAUCGCAUCCUGGGGCGGUAGUACGUCCCAAGGGUUGGGCUGUUCGCCCAUGAAAGCGGUACGCGAGCUGGGUUCAGAACGUCGUGAGACAGUUCGGUCCAUAUCCGGUGUAAGCGUUAGAAUAUUGAGAGGAGCCUUCUUUAGUACGAGAGGACCGAGAAGGAUGCACCGCUGGUGUACCAGUUAUUGUGCCAACAGUAAACGCUGGGUAGCUAUGUGUGGAGUGGAUAACCGCUGAAAGCAUCUAAGUGGGAAGCCCACCUCAAGAUAAGUAUUCUCA
rnacentral:rRNA from 1 species